GACGAACGCUGGCGGCGUGCUUAACACAUGCAAGUCGAGCGGUAAGGCCCUUUCGGGGGUACACGAGCGGCGAACGGGUGAGUAACACGUGGGUGACCUGCCCUCAGCUCUGGGAUAAGCCUGGGAAACCGGGUCUAAUACUGGAUAUGACUCCAUGACGCAUGUUGUGGGGUGGAAAGCCUUGUGCGGCUGAGGAUGGGCCCGCGGCCUAUCAGCUUGUUGGUGGGGUGAUGGCCUACCAAGGCGACGACGGGUAGCCGGCCUGAGAGGGCGACCGGCCACACUGGGACUGAGACACGGCCCAGACUCCUACGGAGGCAGCAGUGGGGAAUCUUGCGCAAUGGGCGAAAGCCUGACGCAGCGACGCCGCGUGAGGGAUGACGGCCU
rnacentral:rRNA from 1 species